CUCCGUCCUCAACGAAGAUAGCCAUCCAGUUGCUCCAACUACCGUUGAAUAAGAUUUCCAAAUCAAAAGGGUGAGCAAAGAAAAAGAAAAGAAAAGGUGAAACAAUACAUUUUAUGUUAGCGAAACAUUAUUGGUUUCUUCCUCAAUGGUAGAUACAGUACCAUCCCUUGUGAUAAGCCUUAGAUAUGGUGGUUUUUCUCACAAUUUCUUCUGUUUUCUUCAAUGGUUCUUUUUUUUUUCCCCUUCAAAUUCAUGCAGUAUUGGCUUUCAAGUAAUGCACUUUGUUUUUCUGUUGAUGAUUCAGGGGACGGGGAUGAUGGGCAAGAUAUUGAGGAUGGCACAUCUGCGAAGCAUACUGAAGAACCUCAUCUGUCUUUCUAUAUAUUGUGAUGAAUCAAUAUACAUGCAGCUUAGAUGAGGCAUCAAACCAUUCAGUUUGGGCAUUAUCAUUGGACUCUUGAGUCUUGUCAUGAUAAUAGCCCUAUAUGGGAUGUCAAAAAAAGUAUAAUUGAAGAGUGUGGAAACGAUGAGGAUUCCAUUUCUUUGCACUGUAGAGAAGUGUCUCCGGUAAAAAAAGGCCUCAAAAAGUAAAUCUCUGAAAAAAACUCGAAAAGGAGAGGGUCAUGCUCCAAAGAAAGGAAAGAAGGGGAUGAAUGAAAGUGAUAAUGUGCGAAGAAAAGGAAACCAUGGUGAUGUGGAAAUUACUGAGGAAGUCACAUCUGAGAAGCUUAUCAAUGCUCAUGUUUCUACAUCAAGGUUACCAUUGGUGCUUUCUGAGAAAGUCCAGAGUUCCAAGGUCUUUUCUCUCAAUAAUUUGUAGAAAUUCAAAUAAUCAAGGUUUAAAGUCCUGGGAUGAGAGAAGUCCAGUUCAGGGAAGAAGCGAAGUAAGCACUGCCGGCUGCUUAUUUUUGUAUUGCUUAGUUAUUUGGUCUCUUGGCACUUGUUGAGUGUGAAGGUGAAUCCAUUGAUCGAAGUGGUGAAAAUGGGGGCUGUUGGCCGACCAGUGAUUCCAGAUACCCCAUCUGGAGAUUCUGAAAUGCACCUAGACUUGAAAGGCACAAUAUACAGAACAACAACAGUUCCUUCCAGAGCAUUUUACGUUGUAUGUCAGGGAUCUCUACUUGAAUUCUUUUAUUUGCAGAUUUAACACCCUCCCCUCUUUUCACUUCCUCGUCCCCUAUAUUGGUCCCCAUGAUUUACGUGGUUCUGUUCUACGUUUUACUUUUGAAAGGGAUGAUUGCGUGAUAUAGGAUGUUUCCCUUCCGGUUCAGGUUAGCUUUGGUCAAUCCAAGGCAAAGAUAGAGGCUACCAUGAAUGACUUCAUUCAGCUUAAAACGCAGUCUAAUGUUUAUGAA